GUGAAUCAUCGAAUCUUUGAACGCAAAUUGCACUCUCUGGUAUUCCGGAGAGUAUGCCUGUUUGAGGGUCAGUUUAAAUAAACAUCGGUGUGUUCGCUGUGUUUCGUGGUGAUGAGUUGGCUGUGGGUCGAUUUGUAUUCGGUUAUGUAAGGUAUUCUUUUGCAUGAUUUUUUCGAAAGUAUUUAAAUGAUU
rnacentral:misc_RNA from 1 species